rnacentral:lncRNA from 1 species
GUCUCUAAGGCAAGUGUGUACAGCAAGACGUGAAUAACACAGCAAUCGAUGUUGAAAGCAUUAAAAGGCAAUUGAGCUUGUCAGAACUACAAAAUAUUGCUGAGUGUGGAUUGCUCUGAAAUCUGAAAACAUUACUUGUGAAUUGCUUAUAUCCAAAAUGCAGACACAAUGCUGGGUAUUGGUUUACUUGUUUCUGAUUUUUCAACCCUCUUUUCCAG